rnacentral:rRNA from 1 species
GACGAACGCUGGCGGCGUGCCUAAUACAUGCAAGUUGAGCGAUGAAGAUUGGUGCUUGCACCAAUUUGAAGAGCAGCGAACGGGUGAGUAACGCGUGGGGAAUCUGCCUUUGAGCGGGGGACAACAUUUGGAAACGAAUGCUAAUACCGCAUAACAACUUUAAACAUAAGUUUUAAGUUUGAAAGAUGCAAUUGCAUCACUCAAAGAUGAUCCCGCGUUGCAUUAGCUAGUUGGUGAGGUAAAGGCUCACCAAGGCGAUGAUACAUAGCCGACCUGAGAGGGUGAUCGGCCACAUUGGGACUGAGACACGGCCCAAACUCCUACGGGAGGCAGCAGUAGGGAAUCUUCGGCAAUGGACGAAAGUCUGACCGAGCAACGCCGCGUGAGUGAAGAAGGGUUUCGGAUCGUAAAACUCUGUUGGUAGAGAAGAACGUUGGUGAGAGUGGAAAGCUCAUCAAGUGACGGUAACUACCCAGAAAGGGACGGCUAACUACGUG